ACGAGAGGUCUGAGUCUUUAGGUUAGCUGCAAGAUAGAGGGACUCGCAUCAGGUUCUUGGGAGUUUGCUCGCCGGGAUCGGUAGACUUUCGCCCCCCUACAGGGACACUUUUCUUUGCCAUGAGCAAUGUUGGUGAGGUGGGUAAAUAUCAAUACACUUGAAUAUGAUUGUCACAUCAUUUGGGGGCUUUUGACUCUGGAAGAUUUCUGAUUAAUGUCAUUAAAUUUUUUCUUUUUCUUUUGAAACAAUAUGCCCCUUGAAGACUUGCUUUGAAUAAAUAAGAUUUUAACUUGUUUAGCAUUGUC